rnacentral:rRNA from 1 species
GCCUGUGAAGGUGAGUUGAGAAGCUUGCUGGAGGUAUCAGAAGUGCGAAUGCUGACAUGAGUAACGACAAUGGGUGUGAAAAACACCCACGCCGAAAGACCAAGGGUUCCUGCGCAACGUUAAUCGACGCAGGGUUAGUCGGUUCCUAAGGCGAGGCUGAAAAGCGUAGUCGAUGGGAAACAGGUUAAUAUUCCUGUACUUCUGGUUACUGCGAUGGAGGGACGGAGAAGGCUAGGCCAGCUUGGCGUUGGUUGUCCAAGUUUAAGGUGGUAGGCUGAAAUCUUAGGUAAAUCCGGGGUUUCAAGGCCGAGAGCUGAUGACGAGUCGUCUUUUAGAUGACGAAGUGGUUGAUGCCAUGCUUCCAAGAAAAGCUUCUAAGCUUCAGGUAACCAGGAACCGUACCCCAAACCGACACAGGUGGUCGGGUAGAGAAUACCAAGGCGCUUGAGAGAACUCGGGUGAAGGAACUAGGCAAAAUGGCACCGUAACUUCGGGAGAAGGUGCGCCGGCUAGGGUGAAGGAUUUACUCCGUAAGCUCUGGCUGGUCGAAGAUACCAGGCCGCUGCGACUGUUUAUUAAAAACACAGCACUCUGCAAACACGAAAGUGGACGUAUAGGGUGUGACGCCUGCCCGGUGCCGGAAGGUUAAUUGAUGGGGUUAGCGCAAGCGAAGCUCUUGAUCGAAGCCCCGGUAAACGGCGGCCGUAACUAUAACGGUCCUAAGGUAGCGAAAUUCCUUGUCGGGUAAGUUCCGACCUGCACGAAUGGCGUAACGAUGGCGGCGCUGUCUCCACCCGAGACUCAGUGAAAUUGAAAUCGCUGUGAAGAUGCAGUGUAUCCGCGGCUAGACGGAAAGACCCCGUGAACCUUUACUGUAGCUUUGCACUGGACUUUGAGCCUGCUUGUGUAGGAUAGGUGGGAGGCUUUGAAGCGUGGACGCCAGUUCGCGUGGAGCCAUCCUUGAAAUACCACCCUGGCAUGCUUGAGGUUCUAACUCUGGUCCGUAAUCCGGAUCGAGGACAGUGUAUGGUGGGCAGUUUGACUGGGGCGGUCUCCUCCUAAAGAGUAACGGAGGAGUACGAAGGUGCGCUCAGACCGGUCGGAAAUCGGUCGCAGAGUAUAAAGGCAAAAGCGCGCUUGACUGCGAGACAGACACGUCGAGCAGGUACGAAAGUAGGUCUUAGUGAUCCGGUGGUUCUGUAUGGAAGGGCCAUCGCUCAACGGAUAAAAGGUACUCCGGGGAUAACAGGCUGAUACCGCCCAAGAGUUCAUAUCGACGGCGGUGUUUGGCACCUCGAUGUCGGCUCAUCACAUCCUGGGGCUGAAGCCGGUCCCAAGGGUAUGGCUGUUCGCCAUUUAAAGUGGUACGCGAGCUGGGUUUAGAACGUCGUGAGACAGUUCGGUCCCUAUCUGCCGUGGACGUUUGAGAUUUGAGAGGGGCUGCUCCUAGUACGAGAGGACCGGAGUGGACGAACCUCUGGUGUUCCGGUUGUCACGCCAGUGGCAUUGCCGGGUAGCUAUGUUCGGAAAAGAUAACCGCUGAAAGCAUCUAAGCGGGAAACUUGCCUCAAGAUGAGAUCUCACUGGGAACUUGAUUCCCCUGAAGGGCCGUCGAAGACUACGACGUUGAUAGGCUGGGUGUGUAAGCGUUGU